rnacentral:rRNA from 1 species
UACGUAGGGACCGAGCGUUGUCCGGAAUCAUUGGGCGUAAAGAGCUCGUAGGUGGCGUGUCGCGUCUGCCGUGAAAGCCCAUGGCUUAACUGUGGGUCUGCGGUGGAUACGGGCAGGCUGGAGGCUGGUAGGGGCAAGCGGAAUUCCUGGUGUAGCCGGUGAAAUGCGCAGAUAUCAGGAGGAACACCAAUGGCGAAGGCAGCACCUCUGGGGA